rnacentral:SRP_RNA from 11 species
GAAGCGGACAAGGCGAGGGCGGAAAUGCAGCAAGUAAAAUCGGAGGCGCAGAGGCUGGAGCGCG